GUGGGGAAUAUUGGGCAAUGGGCGAAAGCCUGACCCAGCAACGCCGCGUGAAGGAAGAAGGUUUUCGGAUCGUAAACUUCUAUCCUAGGUGAAGAUAAUGACGGUAGCCUAGAAGGAAGCCCCGGCUAACUACGUGCCAGCAGCCGCGGUAAUACGUAGGGGGCAAGCGUUGUCCGGAAUGAUUGGGCGUAAAGGGCGCGUAGGCGGCCUUCUAAGUCCGAUGUGAAAGUCCUGCUUUUAAGGUGGGAAUUGCAUUGGAAACUGGAGGGCUUGAGUGCAGGAGAGGUAAGUGGAAUUCCCGGUGUAGCGGUGAAAUGCGUAGAGAUCGGGAGGAACACCAGUGGCGAAGGCGACUUACUGGACUGUAACUGACGCUGAGGCGCGAAAGUGUGGGGAGCAAACAGGAUUAGAAACCCGGGUAGUAC
rnacentral:rRNA from 1 species